rnacentral:rRNA from 1 species
UACAGAGGGGGCAAGCGUUGUUCGGAAUUACUGGGCGUAAAGGGCGCGUAGGCGGCCUUCUAAGUCGAACGUGAAAUCCCCAGGCUCAACCUGGGAACUGCGUCUGAUACUGGAUGGCUUGAAUCCGGGAGAGGGAUGCAGGAAUUCCAGGUGUAGCGGUGAAAUGCGUAGAUAUCAGGAGGAAUACCGGUGGUGUAGACGGCUCUCUGGACCGCGACUGACGCUGAGACACGAAAGCGUGGGUAGCAAACAGG